CAGGGACGUCACUGACAUCCUGUGCGUGCACCCAUAGCAACAGCAGAGCGGAGCAGCGAGGAAGAGGACGCCCGCGCAUGGUAAGGUAAGGUCCCGGUCGCAAAUCUUCAUUUCUUCCGCCACCCGCGCGGGACGCCGACGGUGACGUCAUUCACAGCCGCCGCCAGGGAGAAGGAGCAAGGCACAGGCCGGGAGGAAAAUUUUAGAAAAGCAUCUAAUUUCAUGAAUCUUUCCUCAUUGUCAAGAGCUCCACAACCUAUUAGAAGUCUAUGUAUUCCCAUGAAAUAAACAUACCAAUAGAUUAAGAAAUUAACAGCAAAGUUAAACAUGAAGCAACCUCAACCGGGAGCGGAGUCACUGUAUAGAAGACCAGAGCACGGAGCAUGGAAUAGACACCGCAUCAGGCAGAAUCUGUCAACACAACAAUAGGACAAGCGCAAUUUUCUUCUGUGACUCAUCGAAGCAAUAUUGUCUUUACGAUAAAGGCGGUAAUGAUAUAGUCAGGGACGGCAGGUACUGAGCCACUGAUCCCUUAUCCUACAUCAGUAUAAUUAAAAGCUAUAGUAGAAGGUUCUGUUUUUGGCAUAGAUGGACAAAUCCGUGGUGACGUAACACAUUUAUCCUCAAUGCACCUGUUUUGAUGUUUAUCACAGAUAUAACUAAAGAACAGUCAGCCCUGAAUGAUGACAAUUACAUAAAAAAAUAUAAAUAAUAGGAUGUAGAUGCAAAUAAUUCCAUCUAAACUAUAUCAAAUGGAGCUUGUUUGAUUAUGUGCUGAAUCCUAUACUACCAGGAGCCUGGCAUUUCAUACAAUGACUAUGUGGUGUCCCGGUACCGCAUCCUAUACGGUACCUGUUUAUAGGUCCCCAUAGCCAUAGUCCCUAGGACGUCGGGGUCCUUUUGUAUGGUCCACCCCUAGUCACCUCUCACCCCUAUAGUCAUUGCUCUAGUCAUAUGUUCCUUAUUUGUGGAAGUUUAACUCUAUAAAAUGUAUAUAAAUAGUUAAUUACCUGUGAGAAGCGUAGCACGACCUGCGGGUCACGUGAUCAGGUAAACUCUAUGGUAUUUCUGCUUGAGGACCUUUGGAGGUCCUUGUGACGUAAUGCACUAAUUUCCUUUGUGACGGUGAGUGACAGAUGGCUGGACCAAUAAAAACGGCCCCGCCCCGCCCAUAUAAGGGCGCGGCGGCCAUUAAUCUCUUGCUUGGUUCCUGGCUGUUGACGAGAAAGGAUCUGCGCUGCUGUUCUAUUCCAAAUUGUGAGUGUAUCAAUCCCUAAACACUCUGCAAGACCACCGGACCUUAUCUAUCCCCUAAAUCCGGACGAAUCUUCGCAAUAUACCCUGAAUUCAGAGACUAUUAUCUAAAGUCAAGGUCGGCAACAUCUGUCAGUCAUUGAAGUGUAGAGAGACUGUUUGAUUGAGACUGUUACUACUCUGUGGAUGUACCGAAAGCUGUUAA